GCGCCCGUAGCUCAGCUGGAUAGAGUGCAAGCCUCCGGAGCUUGAAGCGUGGGUUCGAAUCCCGCCGGGCGCA
rnacentral:tRNA from 1 species